UUGAUCACUGUGGUAAUUCAUUCUUUUGUCAAAAUUUGAUUACAAUUGGGGUUGGAGGGAAGCAACAAAAUUCCUAUCCUGUAAUAGACGUUUUUGGUGUGUGACUUGAUAGUUGUUCACGUCGAUACAAAAUUUCAUUCAUGUGGUUUUUUAAGGCAUUUGAAUUUAACAUUGUUUUUAUGAUUGUCUAAGAGCUGGAGCUAUUAAGACUUGGGACAGAUAUAUACAGGUAACAGGGGCCUACAAGAUCCAAUUCAUGUUUGACAGUUCGUCAAAAUAAACAAGUAGUAUUGAUGGGUAAAGAAGAAACUGAGGCACAUCAAUCAAACGCCAACCCACCUGCUAUUGGCACUAAAUGAGGAAGGAAAAAGAACAUUGUCCCUGAAGGCUCAAGACACACAAACAGGAAACUGAGUUUGGGAAAGGUGGUUGUCUCCUUGACGCACACCAUGGUGCCCUUGUCUACUCUCUGUCUUCUUCCUU